CAGCCGCCGCGGGAAAACGUAGGUGGCAAGCAUUGUCCGGAAUUAUUGGGCGUAAAGCGCGCGCAGGUGGUUUAAUAAGUCUGAUGUGAAAGCCCACGGCUCAACCGUGGAGGGUCAUUGGAAACUGUUAAACUUGAGUGCAGGAGAGAAAAGUGGAAUUCCUAGUGUAGCGGUGAAAUGCGUAGAGAUUGGGAGGAACACCAGUGGCGAAGGCGGCUUUUUGGCCUGUAACUGACACUGAGGCGCGAAAGCGUGGGGAGCAAACAGGAUUAGAUACCCCAGUAGUCCCUGUCUCUUAUAC
rnacentral:rRNA from 1 species